UGACCACCCGAACGGAUCGGGUCAAGGCCAUACGGACAGCCGGGUCAACUGCCGA
rnacentral:sRNA from 1 species